GGGACCACCCAAAAAAUAUUAACAGACCUGGGAAAGGAAUUCAUCAAUGCAAUCAACAAAGACAUAUGCAAGACCUUAAACAUCCGUCAUUUGAUGACCGCAGCUUAUCAUCCCCAAACCAAUGGGUUGGACGAGAAAACUAACAGCAACAUAAAGAAAAUACUGGAAAAGCUUGUGAAUGAGAAUCAAGACAAUUGGGAUGUGGUACUAGAUGCGGCACUUUUUGCAUUACGAGGCAAACCGCAGCAUUCUACAAAGUUCUCACCAUUCUACCUCAUGCAUCACAGAGAGGCUCGCUUUCCAGUUGAGGUGGAAGACAGUGACAUAGAGGUGCAUAACUCGCUAGUUUUUUAAUCACAAGUGCAAGUUGUAACAUUAAUUAAGUGUGUAGGGUCGUGCUGA